rnacentral:lncRNA from 1 species
GUCUGGGCGCGCGUGGCUGGCGGGUGGCCGGCGGUCGAGAGGCUGCGGCGGGCGAACGCCGCUGGAGUCGCCCAGACUGCCUCGGAUUUCAUAAUGAAUCUGAGGAAGGACAAAGGGUACAUUGGACCGCCUCAGCUCAGAGGCCCCGCGGACCCUGGGCCCCGCGAUGCCCGAGGGGCGGGCGGCGCCCUCCGGAUCCUGCACCCUCAGCCCGUGCCCCGCUGGCCUCCUGGCAGGCCGGGCAGAAUUCUGCUGCGAGGGCCCUGGAGGCAAGGGCCUUCCUCUCCGUUUUUCCUUGACACUGACGGGCGCGGCCCCACAGGGUUUCCCCCACGCUCCCUGGCCGGAAGACCUUUUCUGUCUGGUGUCUGCAGAGCCUGACGUGGGCAGCGCCCGCAGCUCGCGCCGGUGCAGGGGAGCUGAGGGCCGACUGCGCGCUGCACCACGGCGGCCACCUGCUGUGCGGUUCUGAGGGCUUCCGCGGUUCUGAGGGCUUCCGCGUCCCUGCCAUGCCCAUCUUGGGGCUUCAGAAGCCAACACGAUGGUUUUCGGGCUCACAUCCCAAAGGCUGCUCUUCCUUUUAGCACCUGGGACCUACCAGGAACCUCAACCUCUAACAACAUUGGUCCCCGUUACCGUGGAGUUUGCGCCCAGCGUUCGCUGGAGGGCCGUUUGAAGAAUGAUUGUUGUCGUAAAGGCCUUUGAUAAUAAUAGAUACUGUUUACCCAGUGCUUGAUGCCAGGCAUUGCUACAAACACUGCGUACACAUUAUUCUAUUUAAUCUUCAUAACCCAGUGAGGAUAUCAACCAGGAUAUGGCAUUGCAUUGGAUCCCAACCAGGAUAUGACGUUACAUUGGAUCCCAACCAGGAUAUGGCAUUGCACUGGAUCCCAACCAGGAUAUGGCAUUGCACUGGAUCCCAACCAGGAUAUGGCAUUGCGUUGGAUCCCAACCAGGUUAUGGCAUUACAUUGGAUCCCAACCAGGUUAUGGCAUUGCAUUGGAUCCCAACCAGGAUAUGACAUUGCAUUUACUCAUCACGCCUCCUUAGGUUCCUCUUGGCUGUGACGGUUUCUCAGACUAUCCUUGUUUUUUAGGACCUUGACAGUUUUGAGGCAUACUGGAGAGCUCAACGUGGGCGUUUCUUUCUGUAACAAGUAUGCAUCAUGGCUGGCUGACUCCUCCCCAUAACAAGCAGUUUAAAGGUGAACGGAAAUGGAUCUUGGCGAUAGCAGCUUUUGGAAGCCUAGGCGCGGCACAGAAGGUCAGACAGGAAUGGCUUGUCUUCCACUACAACAUGGGGCUUCAUCGGAAGCACCGCUGCUGAGGAACAACCACCUCCUCCUGACCAUCGCAAGCUGCCCAGGAAGACAUGCUCAUAGCAGUGUCCGUUUCCCUGCCUAACUUUCCACCAGAAGAUUCCUUCAUGUCUACGGGCGGACCCAGGCCGAUCUUGGAAUGCAUGUUUAAGUUUGUCUGACCUUUCUAUCUUUUGCCUUCCUCUUCACUAGAGAACCUGAGCACUAGGUUCUCCUGUAUUAUUUAUUUUAUCUUAUUCUUUUCUUUUUUUUUUUUUUUUUUUGAGGCAGGGCCUUGCUCUGUCACUGAGGCUGAAAUGCAAUGGUGUGGUCAUAGCUCACUCCUCGG